AACGAACGCUGGCGGCAUGCCUAACACAUGCAAGUCGAACGAGAUCUUCGGGUCUAGUGGCGCACGGGUGCGUAACGCGUGGGAAUCUGCCCUUUGGUUCGGAAUAACAGUUGGAAACGACUGCUAAUACCGGAUGAUGACGAAAGUCCAAAGAUUUAUCGCCAGAGGAUGAGCCCGCGUAGGAUUAGCUAGUUGGUGUGGUAAAGGCGCACCAAGGCGACGAUCCUUAGCUGGUCUGAGAGGAUGAUCAGCCACACUGGGACUGAGACACGGCCCAGACUCCUACGGGAGGCAGCAGUGGGGAAUAUUGGAUAAUGGGCGAAAGCCCGAUCCAGCAAUGCCGCGUGAGUGAUGAAGGCCUUAGGGUUGUAAAGCUCUUUUACCCGGGAUGAUAAUGACAGUACCGGGAGAAUAAGCUCCGGCUAACUCCGUGCCAGCAGCCGCGGUAA
rnacentral:rRNA from 1 species